rnacentral:pre_miRNA from 1 species
AGCGGAAGGAGAAGGAGAGCUUCUCCCGGGAAUCCAAUGGGCCUUCCAAUGCGUGAAAGGCGUUCAAGAGGAAGGCACAUUUGAUUCCUAGAGAAGCUCUGGUUCUCCGAGUU